rnacentral:rRNA from 1 species
UGGGGAAUCUUGGACAAUGGGGGCAACCCUGAUCCAGCCAUGCCGCGUGAGUGAUGAAGGCCUUAGGGUCGUAAAGCUCUUUCGCCUGUGAAGAUAAUGACGGUAGCAGGUAAAGAAACCCCGGCUAACUCCGUGCCAGCAGCCGCGGUAAUACGGAGGGGGUUAGCGUUGUUCGGAAUUACUGGGCGUAAAGCGCACGUAGGCGGACCAGAAAGUUGGGGGUGAAAUCCCGGGGCUCAACCCCGGAACUGCCUCCAAAACUAUUGGUCUAGAGUUCGAGAGAGGUGAGUGGAAUUCCAAGUGUAGAGGUGAAAUUCGUAGAUAUUUGGAGGAACACCAGUGGCGAAGGCGGCUCACUGGCUCGAUACUGACGCUGAGGUGCGAAAGUGUGGGGAGCAAACAGGAUUAGAUACCCUGGUAGUCCACACCGUAAAACGAUGAAUGCCAGUCGUCGGGUAGCAUGCUAUUCGGUGACACACCUAACGGAUUAAGCAUUCCGCCUGGGGAGUACGGUCGCAAGAUUAAAACUC